GCUUCUGUGGCUUAGUUGGUUAAAGUGCCGGUCUAGCGAAUACGGAGUGGUGGGUUCGAAUCCCACCAGAACGCG
rfam:Aedes albopictus isolate Foshan contig59102, whole genome shotgun sequence.